GACGAACGCUGGCGGCGUGCCUAAUACAUGCAAGUAGAACGCUGAAGGAGGAGCUUGCUUCUCUGGAUGAGUUGCGAACGGGUGAGUAACGCGUAGGUAACCUGCCUGGUAGCGGGGGAUAACUAUUGGAAACGAUAGCUAAUACCGCAUAAGAGUAGAUGUUGCAUGACAUUUGCUUAAAAGGUGCAAUUGCAUCACUACCAGAUGGACCUGCGUUGUAUUAGCUAGUUGGUGAGGUAACGGCUCACCAAGGCGACGAUACAUAGCCGACCUGAGAGGGUGAUCGGCCACACUGGGACUGAGACACGGCCCAGACUCCUACGGGAGGCAGCAGUAGGGAAUCGUAGGCAAUGGACGGAAGUCUGACCGAGCAACGCCGCGUGAGUGAAGAAGGUUUUCGGAUCGUAAAGCUCUGUUGUAAGAGAAGAACGAGUGUGAGAGUGGAAAGUUCACACUGUGACGGUAUCUUACCAGAAAGGGACGGCUAACUACGUG
rnacentral:rRNA from 1 species